rnacentral:tRNA from 1 species
UCUCCCAUAGCUUAGUUGGUAGAGCGCAAUGCUUAUAUGACGACAUUCACCCCCGCGGGUGAAGUCGGUAUACUGUGGUAGCACACCCCUCUCUGAGGUUACGUUGAUGUCAGGGGUUCGAGCCCCCUUGGGAGAA